rnacentral:piRNA from 1 species
UGGGCAAGGAGAUCUUUAGCUAUUUGUGGCC